rnacentral:rRNA from 1 species
UCGGGAAUUUUGGGCAAUGGGCGAAAGCCUGACCCAGCAACGCCGCGUGAGGGAUGAAGUAUUUCGGUAUGUAAACCUCGAAAGAAUGGGAAGAAUAAAUGACGGUACCAUUUAUAAGCUCCGGCUAACUACGUGCCAGCAGCCGCGGUAAUACGUAGGGGGCAAGCGUUGUCCGGAUUUACUGGGUGUAAAGGGCGCGCAGGCGGGAUAAAAAGUCAGUGGUGAAAUCCUACAGCUUAACUGUAGAACUGCCUUUGAUACUUUUAUUCUCGAGUUCGGGAGAGAGAGACGGAAUUCCAGGUGUAGUGGUGAAAUACGUAGAUAUCUGGAAGAACACCAGUUGCGAAGGCGGUCUCUUGGUCCGACACUGACGCUGAGGCGCGAAAGCGUGGGGAGCAAACA